rnacentral:ncRNA from 2 species
AUUGAAUAACAAGAGGAGAGUGCCCGGAGAGUCAAUCCCCGGGAUAAUAGGGAAAUCGGUGAAAGUCCGAUGCAGCCCCCGCUACUGUAAACGGUGAUGAAAUUGUCAACAGCCACUGGCGUAAGGCCGGGAAGGGACAAGAGUAAGGCGAUCCGUAAGCCAGGAGACCUGCUUUCUUCUUCGAACCAUC